GCUUCGUGGUGUAGUGGUCAGCACGCUCGACGCGUAACCGAGAGGUCCGUGGUUCGAUUCCCGGCGAAGGCG
rnacentral:tRNA from 1 species